AUGAACGCUGGCGGCGUGCCUAAUACAUGCAAGUCGAGCGAACAGAUGAGGAGCUUGCUCCUCUGACGUUAGCGGCGGACGGGUGAGUAACACGUGGAUAACCUACCUAUAAGACUGGGAUAACUUCGGGAAACCGGAGCUAAUACCGGAUAAUAUAUUGAACCGCAUGGUUCAAUAGUGAAAGACGGUUUUGCUGUCACUUAUAGAUAGAUCCGCGCCGCAUUAGCUAGUUGGUAAGGUAACGGCUUACCAAGGCAACGAUGCGUAGCCGACCUGAGAGGGUGAUCGGCCACACUGGAACUGAGACACGGUCCAGACUCCUACGGGAGGCAGCAGUAGGGAAUCUUCCGCAAUGGGCGAAAGCCUGACGGAGCAACGCCGCGUGAGUGAUGAAGGUCUUCGGAUCGUAAAACUCUGUUAUUAGGGAAGAACAAAUGUGUAAGUAACUAUGCACGUCUUGACGGUACCUAAUCAGAAAGCCACGGCUAACUACGUG
rnacentral:rRNA from 1 species